rnacentral:rRNA from 1 species
UACGUAGGGACCGAGCGUUGUCCGGAUUCAUUGGGCGUAAAGAGCUCGUAGGCGGCUGUUCAAGUCGAACGUGAAAACUCGGAGCUCAACUCCGAGCCUGCGUUCGAGACUGGAUGGCUAGAGUCUGGUAGGGGGAUCUGGAAUUCCUGGUGUAGCGGUGGAAUGCGCAGAUAUCAGGAGGAACACCGGUGGCGAAGGCGGGAUCCUGGGCCAGUACUGACGCUGAGGCGCGAAAGCGUGGGUAGCAAACGGG